UUUGUACUCCCUCCGUCUCAAAAUUCUUGUCUUACAUUUGUCUAAAUAUAGAUGUAGCAAGUCACGUUUUAGUAUUAGAUACAUCCGUAUCUAGAUAAAUCUAAGAUAGAAUUUUGGGACGGAGGAAGUACAAU
rfam:Triticum aestivum genome assembly, contig: Triticum_aestivum_CS42_TGACv1_scaffold_321935_4BL